UACAGAGGGGGCAAGCGUUGUUCGGAAUUACUGGGCGUAAAGGGCGCGUAGGCGGCCUUCUAAGUCGAACGUGAAAUCCCCGGGCUCAACCCGGGAACUGCGUCCGAUACUGGAAGGCUUGAAUCCGGGAGAGGGAUGCGGGAAUUCCAGGUGUAGCGGUGAAAUGCGUAGGAUAUCUGGAGGAACACCGGUGGCGAAGGCGGCGAUCCUCGGACCGGUAU
rnacentral:rRNA from 1 species